ensembl:lncRNA LINC01500 long intergenic non-protein coding RNA 1500
AGAUCUUUUUCACUAAUAGAUCGCCUCCUGAAUGUGAAGACCAAUUAUAAGCUUUGUGUUUUGGAUGCAAUACGUAUUCAAUGACAGCCUUCACGUUAGACUGCACGAUUAAGGAAGAUCAGGCAGGUUGGGGCUCCCAGGGCCCAGCUAUUUAUUAUCUACUCUGCACCAAUCAUCAGAUGUAGUGGUGAAAAGAUGGACAAAAUUUCUACUCUCAGCUUACAUUUUGGUGAUGGGAGAUGGACAAUCAACCCAGGUCAAUGACAGAUGCUGGAGCAGAACACAUAGACAUACAGGUCGACGUUUAUUUCUUUCUGAACUUUCCUGGAGGAUCAUCGGCCAUACUCCAGCAGAAGGGUGGAUUUGAAAAAAUAACGUUUCCACGGCAACAGUGGCAGCAAUUCAAAGGAAGACGUUGGAGAAUUCACAUGCUAUUUUAGCUGGCUCUGUGAUUGCAAUCACACAAAUCAUUACAUUCCAGCGAGAUCCCAUCAACAGAAGGUUUUUCCAUUUCAGUCUGUCAAGCAAAGCCCAGAGUCUUCCCUGGAGAAGAGUGCUGAUGACGAGGAUUCAUGUCUCACAACCCAGCACACAGGAAUGAUGUCACACAGAUGAGUAAACAGAAACAUCUGAUAACUUCCACCUAGUGCAUGGAGAGCUAGAAUUUGAAGUAGGGCUGACCAAUACCAAAGCCUGAUGUCUAGUGAAAUUCACACAAUGCUGCAAAUCUGAAGACUCUGCAGCAGAUUUUGUAGGUACUUUCAGCAGAGGAGUUUCAGAAAUGCUUUGCACAAACACAGGUUCACCAAGUGAGUGAUCACACGGGAAGACCACGUGGGAAGGUGGUGUUUUUCAUCAUUGGUUAUUUAUGAUGCUUUGAUCCUGGAAACAUGAGCUAAAUGAGAAAGCCAGAGAAAGGGAUUCACUUAACAACGGAUAACCUUGUUGUAUCAUAAAUUACAAGAAGAAAGCCAAUCAUCUUUCAAGCUGCAUCAUCAUAAACAAACUUAAAAGAAGAAGCUACCAGGAUUCAUGGCAACUUUUUUGCUUCCCAACCUGGAAUUCCCCAGUAUGUGCUGUCUGACUGGUUUCUGUUCUCUAGUAGGGAUAGAUCCUUUGCCAUGUUGAUUAGCUUAAUUGUGCCAUUUUAUUAUUUGGGAUGUGAACAUAGAAAAAAAUUUUUCAAUAAAAUCGAAGAAUUAAUA